UUCACGUGGUAGGCUCCUGGGUAUGGGCUCCAAUCUUUUUUUCUAUUUGUCAUAGCAGGAAAGGAAAGUGACUGCAAUAGAUGAUGAAGGAAGCCAAGAAGCUCUUGGGAGCUACAGUUUCUGGCUAAUGCUUCUGCGGAAGAGCAUCCUCUACUGGCUGUUUUCUCAACUGGAGAAUCAGUGGUGAAAGCAGUAGCCAAGAGCUGUGGCAACAAACAGAGGGCCUUACCUUAGCUACAUGAAGCAAAGCCAGCAAGAGCAACUCUGCCUACCACAGCAAUGACACAUUCUGACGUUUGUGGGGUAGUUCCACUCCGAGGCAACUGUUCACAGCUAACAUGGCCAAAUAGUGUGUCUACCUAGGCGUGGAGUGUGUGACUCCAUCCCACUUAACUGCCCCAAGUAUGACUGCCAUAGAUGUUAAUACUGCCAAGAGAGGUGCUGAUGCAUCACAAUGCUCCGCUACUGUCCCAGCAAGAAGAUGUAUUCUUUCCUUGAAGAAAGUGGGGAAUGGGGAGAUCAAGUGAAGUUCUCUGCCAGUAAAGUUCUCUGAAAUUGGACUGCGGAGCAGUGACUGUUAUUCUGCAUUGAGAAAAAAAGCAAACUGAAAGAUGAAAGAACUUGGCUUGAUAUGGAAUUAUUUCAAGCAGCCGUCAGUGUAGACUUCCACCGAUCAGAGAAAAUUAUAACAGUGCAACAAUGAUGUCAGUGUUGACACUCAGCCAGGACAGAAUGUACCUGUAAACCUUAUGGCAGGUGUCAAAUUUUGCAUCAGAGUUAAAGGAAAGAAUAACAUCACCAUUAAUAUACAUUCAAGUGUUUCAGAAACAGGAAUGAUCAAGUGGAGGCAAAAGUAGAGUGCAAAUUCAGAUUUAUUU